rnacentral:rRNA from 1 species
GAUGAACGCUGGCGGCGUGCCUAAUACAUGCAAGUCGAGCGAACGGACGAGAAGCUUGCUUCUCUGAUGUUAGCGGCGGACGGGUGAGUAACACGUGGAUAACCUACCUAUAAGACUGGGAUAACUUCGGGAAACCGGAGCUAAUACCGGAUAAUAUUUUGAACCGCAUGGUUCAAAAGUGAAAGACGGUCUUGCUGUCACUUAUAGAUGGAUCCGCGCUGCAUUAGCUAGUUGGUAAGGUAACGGCUUACCAAGGCAACGAUGCAUAGCCGACCUGAGAGGGUCGUCGGACACACUGGAACUGAGGCACAGUCCAGACUCCUGCGGGAGGCAGCAGUAGGGAAUCUUCCGCAAAGGGCGAGAGCCUGACGGAGCAACGCCGCGGAAGGGAUGAAGGUCUUCUGAUCGUAAAACGCUGUAAUUAUGAAAGAACAUAUGUGUAAGUAACUGUGCACAUCUUGACGGUACCGAAUCAGAAAGCCACGGCUAACUACGUG